GAACUUUCGUGCCUAAUUGUCAUGCAUUCACCAACCUUCCCAGGCUAGUUGGCCUUGAAGUACCAGUAUCAACUCAUAAGCAGGUGUUCUUGCUUAUAGCUUAAUUAACUAGCUUCAUCUGUGAGAACUGCAAUCUCAUGGCCUUCUCAGAGGCCUCAUUUCAGGAGCCCAGGGUGGAAUGUUGUAAUUCUUGUCAGUGAAUGUGGGGGGGAACCCCACUUAGAUUUCUACAGAAAAUGCUAUGUCCUGUUACCAUACAAAGCACGAACUGACCCGGACCGUGCAUUCAUCAUCAGAGGCCCUUCUUCAUGUGCCCCCUCUAUGGGAGGCUUGGAGGGUAGCAACAUGAGAACUGUACUUUUCAGUGGUGGUCUCCUGGCUGUGGAAUGCUCUCCCCAGGAAGGCAAACUUUGCAACAUCUAUAUCCAUCUCUAGGGACCAGACAAAGACCUUCUUCUUCACUCAGGCCUUUGGCUCUUGAUGUGUGGUGUCCCAGCUGCUCUUUCUGUAUCUGAUGGCUUCCAGUAAGUUUAGUAAGUUUUUAUUGAUUAUUAUGUAUGUCUUCGUUUGUCUUUUAAUGUAUUGAUGAGUUUUAGAUUUUAUUGACUGU